rnacentral:lncRNA from 1 species
GGAAACAAUAUAGUUGUGUCAGUAGGAUGUUUCACACAGAUAAAUUUGCUGUGCUAAUUGACCCAUCAUAGGUCCAUUUUGAGAGGCGUAUGGCCUGUGACAAAAUGAGUUUCCAUGACUGUCAUCCAGAGCUCCCCACAGAAAGGAGAGCACACGUUACUUUAGGAGACAAUAAUGGCAAGCCCUGGGCUAGAAUUAAUCUAAGUUUACGUUGAUUUUUGCACUGGAUUGAGCCCUGAUAGCAGUCUACACCUGCUGUGUUCAUGACCAUGAAGAUUUUUGUGGAGUCAGACAGAUUCCCAAGAUGAUCUGCCAUUCUUAAAGCAAAGGCACAAGUUGUGAGAUGCUGAAAAGAGUUAUAACAGUCCCACAAGGAGGGGAGGCAAGAACUAUGAGCUGCAAAAAAAAAAACUGCCAAAGGUCUGUUUCAAAACCAGUUGUAGAAAAUGAUUCCUCACAUUGUGUGAACUGUGAGACUCCUCAAUACAGCAUGUUAUGAAAGGUAAGAGUUUACAUGGGUGCAGAAUAAUGGGCAUAAACAAAAAUAAAUGUGGAAUAUGGAAUGCA